UGGGAAACAAUGUGGGAAGGCACAAACAGCUAGGAGGUUGGCUUAGAAGCAGCCAUCCUUUAAAGAAAGCGUAACAGCUCACUAGUCGAGUCGGCCUGCGCGGAAGAUGUAACGGGGCUAAAUAAUACACCGAAGCUGCGAAUGAAUAUUUAUAUUCAUGGUAGGGGAGCGUUCUGUAUGCCACUGAAGGUGAAUCGAGAGGUUUGCUGGAGGUAUCAGAAGUGAGAAUGCUGACAUAAGUAACGAUAAGAGGGGUGAAAAACCUCUCCGCCGAAAGACCAAGGUUUCCUGUCCAACGUUAAUCGGGACAGGGUGAGUCGACCCCUAAGGCGAGGGCGAAAGCCGUAGUCGAUGGGAAAUAGGUUAAUAUUCCUAUACUUCUUGUUACUGCGAUGGAGUGACGGAGAAGGCUAGGCCAGCACAGCGAUGGUUGUCUGUGUUUAAGGUUGUAGGCUGGAGAUCUAGGUAAAUCCGGAUUUCUAAGGCCGAGAACUGAUGACGAUUAUCUCUUAGGAGAUAAGAAGUGGUUGAUGCCAUGCUUCCAGGAAAAACUUCUAAGCUAUAGGUAGCAAGGAAUCGUACCGCAAACCGACACAGGUGGUCAGGUAGAGAAUACUAAGGCGCUUGAGAGAACUCUGGUGAAGGAACUAGGCAAAAUGGUACCGUAACUUCGGGAGAAGGUACGCCCUCAUUACGUGACGAGACUUGCUCUCUGAGCGGAAGAGGGUCGAAGAUACCAGGUGGCUGCGACUGUUUACUAAAAACAUAGCACUCUGCUAACACGAAAGUGGACGUAUAGGGUGUGACGCCUGCCCGGUGCCGGAAGGUUAAUUGAUCGGGUUAGCCCCUUGUGGGCGAAGCUCGUGAUCGAAGCCCCGGUGAACGGCGGCCGUAACUAUAACGGUCCUAAGGUAGCGAAAUUCCUUGUCGGGUAAGUUCCGACCUGCACGAAUGGCGUAACGAUGGCCACGCUGUCUCCACCAGAGACUCAGUGAAAUUGAAUUUGCGGUGAAGAUGCCGUAUACGCGCGGCUAGACGGAAAGACCCCGUGCACCUUUACUAUAGGUUCACACUGGACUUUGAGUUUAUUUGUGUAGGAUAGGUGGGAGACUUUGAAGCAGGAGCGCCAGCUCUUGUGGAGUCGUCCUUGAAAUACCACCCUAUUAAAUUUGGAGUUCUAACUUAGGCCCGUAAUCCGGGUCGAGGACAGUGUGUGCUGGGUAGUUUGACUGGGGCGGUCUCCUCCUAAAGAGUAACGGAGGAGUACGAAGGUAUGCUCAACACGGUCGGACAUCGUGUGUAGAGUGCAAAAGCAAAAGCAUGCUUGACUGCGAGAUCGACGGAUCGAGCAGGUAGGAAACUAGGUUUUAGUGAUCCGGUGGUUCUGAAUGGAAGGGCCAUCGCUCAACGGAUAAAAGGUACGCCGGGGAUAACAGGCUGAUA
rnacentral:rRNA from 1 species